rnacentral:sRNA from 1 species
AAGCCCAUUUUCCGUUCUUAUUCCCUACGAUUUUACUUUGUUGUUCGUUAUUUUCAGGUUAUACGUGUUUGGAUGUGUUGCUUCUAUCAUCGCAACUGUUUCAUUGUAUCCUCCCGCUCUGGCAUCAUAUACCGCAGCGUCGCAUUAAAUCCAGCAGUAUUCCUACUCGCGAUUCCAUCCUGACGGAUGUCAGUUUGCAAGAAUGCGACGGCUGUGUAGGUUUCGUCAACUAAUGUACCCGCCCAGAUGAAUGCGACAGUUCGUAUCUCUGUGCGCGCUUCUCCUCCGCCGCCUCCUCUUUUGCUACAAGCACCUACCACUUGAAUAUACAGCGAAUUCUAGUUUUAACAAAUGAAAUAGCCAGGUCGCCAGAGAAAGCUUCAAAAUAAGAUACAAACUAUGGGUUCGCUUUUAAUUCAUUAUUCAUUUUCAAAAUGCGAAUUCGCACGAAGGUUUAUAUAUAUAUAUAUAGCCUCUGAGUUAGUUUCCGAAAGAGGCGACAGUAAAAUGGGUGAACAAGCAAAGUUCCUUGGGAAAACCGAUUGGUAAACUAAACCAAAGGGCAGGGCUGCGAAAGAGUGAAACUGGAAGUGUCCCCUCCUUCAGAAUCAUGCUUAUUGUUAUUAUUAUUGUUGUUUAGUUUGUCCAAGAAUCCUGGGAGGGAAGGGUCGUCGUGCAUGCGGAGAC